CAGCAGCCGCGGGAAUACGUAGGUGGCAAGCGUUGUCCGGAAUUAUUGGGCGUAAAGGGCUCGCAGGCGGUUUCUUAAGUCUGAUGUGAAAGCCCCCGGCUCAACCGGGGAGGGUCAUUGGAAACUGGGAAACUUGAGUGCAGAAGAGGAGAGUGGAAUUCCACGUGUAGCGGUGAAAUGCGUAGAGAUGUGGAGGAACACCAGUGGCGGAGGCGACUCUCUGGUCUGUAACUGACGCUGAGGAGCGAAAGCGUGGGGAGCGAACAGGAUUAGAUACCCCUGUAGUCCCUGUCUCUUAUAC
rnacentral:rRNA from 1 species